UCUCCGUUGGUGAACCAGCGGAGGGAUCAUUACAGGACUCGCAAGACUCCCGUAAACCACUGUGAACCUACCUAUUGUUGCCUCGGCGGGCGCUCGAGCUCAGCGCUCAGCCCGCCGCUGGCCCCUUACUCUGACUCAUUGCGUUGGCAUCUCAGAGCAAACACAAACCAAUCAAAACUUUCAACAACGGAUCUCUUGGCUCUGGCAUCGAUGAAGAACGCAGC
rnacentral:misc_RNA from 1 species